UACAUUCAAUAAGAACGUAGGACAAUAGUGACAAUCACUCAAGACAACUACAUUAGAAUUGAAAACAAGUUUGAGAUUUCCUAAAGCUAGAACUGGAACAGAUCUUCCAUCUCCAACAUUCAAGAAUCUCUCGUUGUUCCCAAAUCUCUCAUUGACCUGAAGUCUUUGCAACGAAUUGCAUAUAUUAAACAGACUUCCAGUAUCUAAUAUCCAGGUCGAAUUAUCACAUAUAAAGAAAUUACAAGGUGUUAUCAUAUAAAUACCUUGAUCAGCAACUGAUUGCCCUUUUCUCUUGCUUUGCCUGUUCGGGUCAAGUGAGGCAAGGUACUAAGGACAAUUCUUCUUCCAAUGCCCCUGCUUCUUACAAUAGAAGCAUUCUGCCUGACUCUGGUCAGUCUUAAUCUUUUUAGUCUGACUAUGCUGAGUUUUCAACUUUCUAAGCCAGCUAUUAAAGUUGGGUCCUGUCAGUUUAUCACUAUCCAAUAGCGAUUGGAGCGACAAGUUUAUGGCCAUUUCUGCAUAAAGAAAAAUCAUGAACCUAAUUAGUAUAUGAAUUAAUUAGACCCAAAGACUUGGACUUUAGUCUAAAGAUUCUUCCACUAUUUUUAUACAAAUUGAUAACCUCUACAUUCAAUUCGAAGAAUUACUCUUAACCCUUUAGUAGGCACUAGAAUCCAUUUGAUCGCAUAUGGGCCCGAGUGUGACUCGGCUAACCCAUGUGCACCAACAGGUAGAUUAUCAACCAAUUGUUUCAUCUAAACAAUUUCUAGUGUUUAUUUUGCCCCAGGCUCCUCUUCGGCAGGCGUGUGACGCCUCUACCGAAAGUCCUGGUUAGGUCCAACCAUUAACACGAUAGGGUUCAGUGUAAUCUACUAAUAGAUGACCAGGCCUGAGUGUGGCUCGGCCAACCCAAUCACCUAUAGAGGGUACACCUGACUCAUCAUAUUAUGAAUGACAAUUCCCAUGGUCAGAUAAGCACCAGGCGUGUGGCGCCUCCAAUGAUUAUCUAGCCAUUAGACCCAUUAUCACCCAACUUAAUGGGAGGCUAUGAUCUAGUUAUCUCCAUAACUAUUUUAUUUUAGGGACCUAAUAAUUUUAGAGGAUUUGAUUCAAUUGAAAAGAGAAGAGAAGAACCGGUUAAUCUAGAUCCUCCCACUGACUUUAUCAAGUCAGGUUAAUAAGUACUAGAUUCAAUCUGAUUAAGAAGGCACUUAAAUCAGUUAGACUAAUUUUUCUUAAAGGCAUGAAUCAACUCGAAUCAUUAAGUGAUCUAAUCAAAAUGUGAUUGACCAUAUCAGUCAGGUAAAUGAGAUCGGUGGAAGGGAUAUGCCAUUAACUCGACAAAGACGAAUCAAUGCGAGUAGCUCCCAAUUAAAAACCACCGGGCAAAACUGUCAAAUUUACCUUAGACACCGACUGAUUAAUCAAUUUUGAUUUGAUUACUCAAAUGACUUGGGCUCAACCUCUGCGCCUCAAUCAAGAUCCAUCUUAAUCUAAUCAAAGACAUGAAAUUUGAUCAACUACAACUAUUGUAUUUGAUCUAGAGUUUCCUUGACCUAAUCUAGUUAUUACUUAAUUAGAUUUGAUCAAUUAACUCUAAUUAGACCAUGUUUGAUUCUAGCCCUAGAUCUAACCCAAUCUUAAGAACUUGAUUUGAGCUAACCCAAAUGCCCCAAGAAUUAUGCAAUGUCAUUGAAUUGAGUUCACAAUUCUAAAUCUAGAUUUUCAUCAUCACUUAAUUUUUAAUUAAGUGUAAGUUUAUAAAAAUUUAGAUCAUUGCAUUAUUCUUAAUUAUAUAUUAAUUACAAAGCUUCAAUUCUUAAAACUUAUUUUCAGAUCUGAGAUUUGCAAUUAAUCAUGUUUAAUUCAGAUUUAAUUCAUGUUUAAAUCUUAGAUGAUUUAUGUUCAUAUAUCACAUAUACAAACUAAUAUGAAUUAACUUAAACAACAUACAUCAUAUACAUUUAUUUUCAGAUUUGAUUUGUUAUACAAAAUCAGAAAAUAAAUGAAUCAUAAAUUUCAUUUAGAUCUAAUCUAAACAAGUUUAAGAUUUCAGAUUUAUUCAUGUUCUUUAUAUCACAUAUACAUCAACAUAAAUUUACCUAAAUCUCAUCACAUACAACUGAUUUUCAGAUCUGAUUAAUCAUGCAAAAUUAGUAACUAAAUCAUUCAUAAAUAAUCUUUAGAUCUGAUCUAAACACAUUUAUAAAUCUCAGAUUUAAUUACAAAGAUUAAAAUAGAUUUUAAUCUACCUUUCGUUGUUCAUCUUCAAGGAUCAAUCACAGUAGCACCCCUACAAACCAUAGGAGAUCCCAUCGAAUGGAAAAAGAGGAUAACGAACCCUUCUUUCUCCCAUGACCGAAUGGCCUGGUGAUUAAUCCAAUUAGAUUACUAAACUACUCAGAUUAAUACAAUUGUUUUAAGCAUAAACAGAACUUUGGCUCUAAUACCAUUGAAAGAAACCCUUGCGGGCUGCAUGCAUUUAUUUUCAAAAAUUACAGUGCCCAGACUCUAGGAAGGCGGUUUUCACAUCCAAGAAAAUAAUAUGAUGUCCACAAAUGCAAAAUCAUAAGAAAGAAGUGUGUCGCUUUGCAUAAUGAAAGGCUCUUCCAGCAAUUCAAAUGUUUCACCUGUAAGAAAGCCACUUAACUGUGCUAGGCUAUAGCAAAUAGUGAGCAAACCUGCCUGUAAG
rnacentral:lncRNA from 1 species